rnacentral:rRNA from 1 species
GCUAGUUGGUGAGGUAACGGCUCACCAAGGCGACGAUCGGUAGCCGGACUGAAGGUUGACCGGCCACAUUGGGACUGAGAUACGGCCCAGACUCUACGGGAGGCAGCAGUGGGGAAUAUUGGGCAAUGGGCGCAAGCCUGACCCAGCAACGCCGCGUGAAGGAAGAAGGUCUUCGGAUUGUAAACUUAAAUCGUCGGGGACGCGGUACCCGAGGUGAAGCCACGUCUAACUACGUGCCAGCAGACGCGGUAAUACGUAGGUGGCAAGCGUUGUCCGGAUUUACUGGGUGUAAAGGGCGUGUAGGCGGAUUUGAAAGUCAGGCGUGAAAUGCCGCAGCUUAACUGCGGGCUGCGCUUGAAACUUCAGACCUUGAGUACCGAGAGGAAAGCGAAUUCCUAGUGUAGCGGUGAAAUGCGUAGAUAUUAGGAGGAACACCAGUGGCGAAGGCGGCUUUCUGGACGGCAACUGACGCUGAGGCGCGAAAGUGUGGGGAGCAAACAGGAUUAGAUACCCUGGUAGUCCACACUGUAAACGAUGGAUACUAGGUGUGGGACCGUGCCGGAGUUAAA